CACGUAGGGGGCAAGCGUUGUCCGGAUUCAUUGGGCGUAAAGAGCUCGUAGGCGGUUCGAUAAGUCGGGUGUGAAACCUCCAGGCUCAACCUGGAGACGCCACCCGAUACUGUCGUGACUAGAGUCCAGUAGGGGAGCGUGGAAUUCCUGGUGUAGCGGCGAAAUGCGCAGAUAUCAGGAGGAACACCAGCGGCGAAGGCGGCGCUCUGGGCUGGAACUGACGCUGAGGAGCGAAAGCGUGGGGAGCGAACAGG
rnacentral:rRNA from 1 species